AAGCGCCAGCGCCGGGGAGAUCCCCGGACGACGAGGAGAGACGUGAUCGAAGAUUCGGCGGAUGCGUCUCCGUGCUCGCUCUGCGCGCGUAACACAGUCAGAAAUAUGCGGGCGACCGCAAAACAGAAGGG
rnacentral:ncRNA from 1 species